GCCAGAGUGGCGGAAUCGGCAGACGCGCGGGACUCAAAAUCCCGUGACCCUCUGGGUCGUGUGGGUUCGACCCCCACCUCUGGCA
rnacentral:tRNA from 1 species